AAAACAUCGCCUCCUGCAACACACCAUAUAUAGGAGGUCCAACCUGCCCAGUGACUACAAGUUCAACGGCCGCGGUAUUUUGACCGUGCAAAGGUAGCGCAAUCACUUGUCUUUUAAAUAGAGACCUGUAUGAAUGGCCAAACGAAGGCUUAACUGUCUCCCCUUUCAAGUCAGUGAAAUUGAUCUACCCGUGCAGAAGCGGAUAUAAUAAUACAAGACGAGAAGACCCUUUGGAGCUUAAGGUACAAAAUUUAACCACGUCAAGCAACUUAAUAAAAAGCAAAAACCUUGUGGAACAUAAAACUUUACCUUCGGUUGGGGCGACCACGGAGUAAAACAAAACCUCCAAGUGGACUGGGAUAAUUUUCCUAAAACCAAGAGAGACAUCUCUAAGCCACAGAACAUCUGACCAAACAUGAUCCGGACACCAGAACCGAUCAACGAACCAAGUUACCCUAGGGAUAACAGCGCAAUCCUCUCCCAGAGUCCAUAUCGACGAGGGGGUUUACGACCUCGAUGUUGGAUCAGGACAUCCUAAUGGUGCAGCCGCUAUUAAGGGUUCGUUUGUUCAACGAUUAAAGUCCUACGUGA
rnacentral:rRNA from 1 species